rnacentral:rRNA from 1 species
GUAAAGCGGCGAACGGGUGAGUAACACGUAACGAACCUACCUUUCGCGUUGGGGACAACCACAGGAAACUGGGGCUAAUACCCAAUGGUCUCUUUUCUCAUAAGAGGAACGAGUAAAGACGCUUUUGUGUCACGCGAAGGGGGUGUUGCGGCCUAUCAGCUUGUUGGUGAGGUAACGGCUUACCAAGGCUAUGACGGGUAGGGGGUCUGAGAGGAUGGCCCCCCACAUGGGGACUGAGACACGGCCCUGACUCCUACGGGAGGCAGCAGUGGGGAAUCCUCGUCAAUGGGCGAAAGCCUGAACGAGCGACACCGCGUGAGGGAUGAAGCCCUUCGGGGUGUAAACCUCUUUUCUGGGGGAAGAAUAAGUGCAGGAAUGGAAUGCCUGCAUGAUGACGGUACCCCAGGAAUAAGGGACGGCUAACUCUGUGCCAGCAGCCGCGGUAAGACAGAGGUCCCGAGCGUUAUCCGGAUUCACUGGGCGUGAAGGGCGUCUAGGCGGUCUCGUAAGUCACCUGUGAAAGCUCCUGGCUCAACUGGGAGAGGUCGGGUGAAACUACGGGGCUAGAGCCUCGGAGGGGAGAGUGGAACUUCCAGAGUAACGGUGAAAUGUGCAGAUACUGGAAGGUACCUCGAUAGCGAAGGCAGCUCUCUGGCCGACGGCUGACGCUAAAGCGCGAAAGCGUGGGGAGCAAACCGGAUUAGAUACCCGGGUAGUCCACGCCCCAAACGAUGUCAACUAGGUGUUGGAUCCUUUAACUGAGGUCCAGUGCCGCAGCUAACGCGUUAAGUUGACCGCCUGGGGACUACGGCCGCAAGGUUAAAACUCAAAUGAAUUGACGG